GUGAUUUGCAAAUAUGCACAAUUUAAUCUGUACACACAUAUUUAAAUUACACAUACAAAGUGAUAUUUACGCAUUUGUGGAUCCAUUUCUACACACAAAACUGUUUUUACACAUUUGUGGAAAACUUCCUGUCAAUUUGCAGGUCACGUUACAUUUGUAACUACCUUUUUACGCAUUUGUGGAGUUUCGUCCACUCUGUCUCACCGAGAUGUGCAAAAAGAUAUUUGUAAGUUUAAGAGCAGUUUAUUAGCUACACCAGCAGGGGGCGGUGGUGACAUUGCCUCCCAUGAGUUGACAGGAUAUUCACGCUCAUCUAUGGGGGACAACUAGCAAAAGGACUGUAGCUCGGUUUAUAGUUUCAACUCGACCAGCUCAUGAUUCAGGAUCUGGUUCAUCCACCUAUAGUAAGUUAGCUGUGUAACGUUUGUCCACGUUAUGUAACAAGCUCACAUGAAAUCAUUUAGUUCACUUAGUUCAUUUGUAACUACUGGCUAUUUUUGCAAAACUCUACACACAAAUAAGAAAACCUUUCACCCAAUUAUCAAAACAUUGUAGUUCUCUUGCAAAAGCGAACACAGCUAGAUUAACUCUUUGUAAAAAUGGUGUUUUCGUAUCAAACAGUAAACACAAGCCAUCAUCUACUAAGCACACAAUGUGCCAACUACACACUGAUGGUAUGAAUACAAAACACAUCUUUUGCUUUCUUUGUGUACAGAUGUCAAUUUAAGGUCAUACUUUUGUCAUAGUGUCAUGUAAACAUACAAGUAUCCAAACUUCAAGUAUUGGUGUUUAUUCACACUCAUCAAAACCAAGACAAAGUCAGAACACAAAGUAGUAAUUUUACAAAAAAAAACAAAACAAAAAAACAAUCAGCCUACAUCAUGUCAUCUUUCUGGGUCCAGCCACAAAAUUUCAUCCACAUCGCAUGCGAUAUCCUCCAGUCCAAGGCACCGGGGAAAAUAUCUCCUUGAAUGCCGUAUCCAGGCCUGACAUGAUGCCUGGUCAAUAUCUCCUCAUGCCUCCUCCAUUGCCUGUAAAAGGGCUACCUGUUGAUGAGGAUGACGGUCGUACACUUUCCAGCGCCAGGCAGAGAAGAACUCCUUGAUGGGAUUUAAGAAUGGAGAGUAUGGAGGGAGGCUGAGUGCCAUGAAGAAUGGGUGGUCUGUAAACCAGUUGCGGACCAAAGCAGCCCUAUGGAAACUAACAUUGUCCCAUAUGAUGACAUAUCGGGUCUGCUCUGGUCUCUGAACAGUGAGCAUGUCAUGUAAGGUGUCCAGGAAUGCAAUAAUGUGUGCAGUGUUGUAUGGGCCUAUGGUUGCAUGAUGGUGAACAACAGCAUUUUGGCUUAUAGCUGCACACAUGGUUAUGUUACCACCACGUUGUCCUGGGACACUGAUGAUGGCACGGUGUCCAAUAAUGUUCCUGCCACGUCUCCUGGUUUUACUGAGGUUAAAACCGGCCUCAUCUACAAAAAGUAGCUCAUGUCCCAUGGCAUCUGCUUCUAGUUCCAUCACUCUCUGGACAAGACAAAACAAAUGCAGCACAUCAGGCCCCUGCACAGCACUACAGUAUGCACUUCCAAAUUCAGAACCAAUGACACUAUAGCUUACCUGCACAUAGUCAUAUCGCAGUUGCUUUACACGUGUUUCUCUCGAAAGGAACUCUGUAAAUUUGCUUCAUUCUUAUUCUGUGGUGCUCAAGUACAACGACUUAGUGCAGAAAUGUUUACACUGUGUAUAUUUUGAAAGAUGGUGUCAUUAUCAAUUAUGCGCUGCUGUAUUUCGCGCAGUCUUAUUGCAUUAUUGGCAAUCACCAUGUUCACUAUAUGGGUCUCUUGCUCUGGAGUGAACAGUCUUCCUCUGCCCCCAACAUGUGGACGUCUAGCAAUUCUGUAAAGUAACAAUUUCAGUAUUUUUGCAUGUAUGGUACUGUUGUGUUUCUCAUUAGAGUAUGGCAGUGCUACAAAGUACUUACCGAUUCUCAUUUCGAAAUGUCCUAAUGAUGCUUGCCACAGUGUAGCGGCUCAAAUUAGGCUGAACCCGUUGGCCAGCUUCCCUCAGGGUCAUCCCAUGGUUGAUGACAUGGUCCACUAUUGUAGCUCUGAUGUCAUCAGUUAUUCUAUUUCUUACUCUUCUUACCCUUCCUCUUUCCCCUCCUCGUCCUCUUCUUGCUCCUCCUUGUCCUCUUCCUCUAACUUCCUCUAACCCUCUCGCUUCUUCACCUCCACGUCCUCUUCCUCCAACUUCUUCACCUCCACGUCCUCUUCCUCCAACUUCUUCACCUCCACGUCCUCUCCCUCGGCCUCCUCGGCCUCCUCUGAUUCUCACUCUUCUCACUCUUACUGCUCGUUCCAUUGUACUCCACACAGACAGCUUACCUGUGGCUUAUUUAUAGUGCUUAGGCUGAUUGCAAAGUGAACUAAUAAUCUAAAACAGUUUUCACAUGUGAAAGUGUGCCAGAAAGUUGGCAAAAUAGUGUUAAUGAUAGCCAUACAUGUGUAUAAUUUUGCUAGGAGUGUGUUGGAAAUUUGGUAAUUGAGUGUAAGCAGUGAGUUGUGUUUAAAGUUCUGCAAAGAGUGUUGUGCAGUGAAUUGUGCCGACAGUUUUGCAAAGUGUGUGUUACAAAAUUGCAAACUGAGUGCAAAGCAGUGUUUGUGCUUUUAGUUUUGCAAACUCAGUGAGUGGUUUUGCUAUACGUAUUAAUAGUUUUAGAAAUUGUGCUACAAGAAUCACGAUUAGCGCUUAAGCAUUCAGAAAAAACUGUAAAUAAAUCUUAUUAACAGGAAGUCAGGUUGAUUCUCUGAAUGUGUGAGUUUGUUUUAAACCAGCAGAUGUCAGCAGAGUUACUCUGCAGCCAGCAGGAUGACAGUGACUCAUCCAACAUGUUCAUCUUUAGAGACGGGAUCCCCAGCAUAAUAGCACUGUUGUGAGAAGAGGGUCUUUAUUUAGUUUGUUUGACAAUAAUGAGUUGAUGCUCGAUAUAAGCUCUAAAAUCAGCCUAUAAAAGAAUCCAUAGAUAUAAAACACUUAGCAUGCCACAGCGUUUAAGCUUUUAUCACCACCACAGUAAAAAUACAUUAUUGAUCAUCAGAGGCUGCUGCUCCUCACAACAGGCUAUACAAUCUAAACAAAUAAUAAUUUAAAAACAUGCAGGUUGUCUGACCUUACUAUGACUAUGCAUCAAAAAUCAAGGCUUCACCACAGAACAUGGCCAAUCCCUAAAAAACCGUCGGACCCAGGAAAGUUUGAUCUAAACUUCUACAAAAUGUUUUUGAAAAGUGAAAUCUUCAUCACACAGAUAUUUACAGAGUGGAGAGAAACUCCACUGAGGAACUUUACCUCCUUGUUUCUAAUGAAUCUGUCUCUCAGUGAUCUCAGAUCAGCCCUCCUUCAUGUUCAGCCUGCAGCGCUGUCACUUCCUGCAUGUGAUUAAACUCUUUGUGUAGGGCCCCGUGUCUCCUGAUGAGCUCUGAGUGAAGAAGCAAAACCAGAUGAGCUUCUACACAGUCACUGCUCUCACCUACAGAGAGGAAGAGAUUAACUGGACUGACUGAGUGGAGGAGCGAUGGGACAGACAGCUUUUCUGCUCUCCUCUCUGACUGUGAGUCCCAGCAGCUCUCAGCUGUUUGAAGAAGAGUCUGUCUCUCUGAGCUGUGAGGAGGACGACAGCUCUGCUGGAUGGACGCUGAGGAGGAACACAACCAGAGAAACCAGGACUCAGUGUGGAGCUGGCUGGGGAAGAUCAGCUGGUUCUUCAUGUAAAAUCACUGACAUCGUCCGAUUGGACAGUGGAGUUUACUGGUGUGAGUCCAGAGAGGGAGCAACCAGUAACACCAUCAACAUCACUGUCACUGGUGGACCAGUGAUCCUGCAGAGUCCUGUCCUCCCUGUGAUGGAGGGACAUGAUGUCACUC